AAUGAACGUUGGCGGUGUGGAUUAGGCAUGCAAGUCGAGCGCGAAAUGCAGCAAUACAUGGAGAGCGGCGAAAGGGAGAGUAAUACAUAGGUACCUACCCCCAGGUCUGGGAUAGCUGCGGGAAACUGCGGGUAAUACCGAAUGACAUCUCCGGAUCAAAGGUGUGAUUCCGCCUGGAGACGGGGCCGCGUCCUACUAGCUUGUUGGUGGGGUAACGGCUCACCAAGGCGACGAUGGGUAUCAGGCGUGAGAGCGUGACCUGACUCACUGGGACUGAGACACUGCCCAGACACCUACGGGUGGCUGCAGUCGAGAAUCUUCGGCAAUGGGCGCAAGCCUGACCGAGCGACGCCGCGUGCGGGAUGAAGGCCCUCGGGUUGUAAACCGCUGUCAGUUGGGAGGAAAUCACAUGGGGUUCUCUCCAUGUGUUGACCUAUCUUCAGAGGAAGGACGGGCUAAGUUCGUGCCAGCCGCCGCCGUAAUAC
rnacentral:rRNA from 1 species